ACGCCGUAAACGAUGUCGACUUGGAGGUUGUGCCCUUGAGGCGUGGCUUCCGGAGCUAACGCGUUAAGUCGACCGCCUGGGGAGUACGGCCGCAAGGUUAAAACUCAAAUGAAUUGACGGGGGCCCGCACAAGCGGUGGAGCAUGUGGUUUAAUUCGAUGCAACGCGAAGAACCUUACCUGGUCUUGACAUCCACAGAACUUUCCAGAGAUGGAUUGGUGCCUUCGGGAACUGUGAGACAGGUGCUGCAUGGCUGUCGUCAGCUCGUGUUGUGAAAUGUUGGGUUAAGUCCCGCAACGAGCGCAACCCUUAUCCUUUGUUGCCAGCGGUCCGGCCGGGAACUCAAAGGAGACUGCCAGUGAUAAACUGGAGGAAGGUGGGGAUGACGUCAAGUCAUCAUGGCCCUUACGACCAGGGCUACACACGUGCUACAAUGGCGCAUACAAAGAGAAGCGACCUCGCGAGAGCAAGCGGACCUCAUAAAGUGCGUCGUAGUCCGGAUUGGAGUCUGCAACUCGACUCCAUGAAGUCGGAAUCGCUAGUAAUCGUGGAUCAGAAUGCCACGGUGAAUACGUUCCCGGGCCUUGUACACACCGCCCGUCACACCAUGGGAGUGGGUUGCAAAAGAAGUAGGUAGCUUAACCUUCGGGAGGGCGCUUACCACUUUGUGAUUCAUGACUGGGGUGAAGUCGUAACAAGGUAACCGUAGGGGAACCUGCGGUUGGA
rnacentral:rRNA from 1 species